rnacentral:siRNA from 1 species
UCCAACUGCCUAAUGGGAACCGAG